UAAAAUUAUUUUAAAUAAUAUAUUAGAAAUGAAAUGUUAUUCGUUUUUAAAGGUAUCUAGUUCUUUAAGAAAUAAAUUUAAUUUAGAAAUUUUAUAUUAUUUAAUUGAAUAUAUUAAUUAAAUAAUUAUUUAAUUUUAAUAUUUUAUGGGAUAAGCUAUAAAAUAAAUUUUUAAAAAUUAUUAAAUAAAUUAAUAAAUAUAAACUUAAAAAUAGUUAUUAUUAAUAAAAAUGUUAUAAUUUAUUUUUUAAAUAAUAUUAUUUAUUUAUAUUUUAAAAAUUUUAUUAAAGUAUUUAUUUUAAUUUUAAAAAUAAAAUAAUAAUGAUAAAAUUAGUAUAUUAUUAUUGUAUAUAUAAAUUUAAAUGAUAGGUUUUUAUAAAGAACUUGGCAAAAAUAAUAUUCGCCUGUUUAACAAAAACAUGUCUUUAUGAAUUUUUUUUAAAGUCUAACCUGCCCACUGAAAUAAAAUUUAAAUGGCCGCAGUAUUUUGACUGUGCAAAGGUAGCAUAAUCAUUAGUCUUUUAAUUGAAGGCUGGAAUGAAUGGUUGGACGAAAUAUUAACUGUUUCAUAAAAAUUUUUAUUAGAAUUUUAUUUUUUAGUUAAAAAGCUAAAAUUUAUUUAAAAGACGAGAAGACCCUAUAAAUCUUUAUAUUUAAAUUAUUAUAAUUUUUUAGAAUUAUUUUAUUAUUAUAGUUAAUAAUAUUUUAUUGGGGUGAUAUUAAAAUUUAAUAAACUUUUAAUUUAAUUUUAUCAUUAAUUUAUGAAUAAAUGAUCCGUUAUUAACGAUUAAAAAAAUAAGUUACUUUAGGGAUAACAGCGUAAUUUUUUUGGAGAGUUCGUAUCGAUAAAAAAGAUUGCGACCUCGAUGUUGGAUUAAGAUAUAAUUUUAGGUGUAGUUGCUUAAAUUUUAAGUCUGU
rnacentral:rRNA from 1 species